UCUGUCAAAAUCCAGCUCUGCCACGUGCUAUUAAAAGACUGGUGGGAACUGACUUCUAUUUUCCAUAUUCAAAAGGAAUCUACUCAGUCAAUUGGAUUACAACCCAUGCUACUACCCAAAGCAAAAGGUGUAAGUUGGAGCUCAGUGAAAAGAGUGGACAUUUUCAACAGAUGGAGUCCAAGAACCAGUAAGGCAUGACAAAGUGUCUGCAGAAUGACUGAUUUCAUGGAAAUGGCUCUUGACAUGAAGAGCAUCAUGUACUGACUUUGAGGUGUAGAGACCUGCUGCUUCUCCUGACCUCCUGUGGACUGGGGCUCGCUGCCUAAGCUGCUCCCCCACUUCAGGACUGAAUGGCCAGAGCUCAGCUCACCUUAUCAGAGAAGACAUUUG